GUGUACGUUGCAAAGUACUCAGAAGAAUUGUGGUAAGAAGUGAAAUACAAAUCGGACUAGGAUAUAGCUGGUUUUCUGCGAAAAUUGUUUUGGCAAAUUGUUUAUGAAUGUAUAAAUAGUGGGUAUAGCACUGAAUACUUUGAGGGAGUAUUGUUAUAUUUAUCUCGAGUGUUUAAUCUCAAAAUAACUAUUUAUUUUAUGUAAAUAAUCAGACUAUUUGCGAUAAGGUAGAUAGUCAAAAGGGAAACAGCCCAGAACAGUUAUUAAAGCUCCAAAAUUAAUAUUUAGUGAAAUAAAAGUUGUUGGUAGUCUUUUACAGUCAAUAAGUGGGCUUGGAAACAGCCAUC
rnacentral:rRNA from 1 species